rnacentral:rRNA from 1 species
UACGGAGGGGGCUAGCGUUGUUCGGAAUUACUGGGCGUAAAGCGCACGUAGGCGGCUUUGUAAGUUAGAGGUGAAAGCCCGGAGCUCAACUCCGGAAUUGCCUUUAAGACUGCAUCGCUUGAAUCCAGGAGAGGUGAGUGGAAUUCCGAGUGUAGAGGUGAAAUUCGUAGAUAUUCGGAAGAACACCAGUGGCGAAGGCGGCUCACUGGACUGGUAUUGACGCUGAGGUGGCGAAAGCGUGGGGAGCAAACAGG